rnacentral:rRNA from 1 species
UACAGAGACUGCAAGCGUUAUUCGGAUUCACUGGGCGUAAAGGGUGCGCAGGCGGUCGGGGUGUGUCAGAUGUGAAAUCCCGAGGCUCAACCUCGGAACUGCGUCUGAAACUACUCGACUAGAGUACUGGAGAGGGUAACGGAAUUCACGGUGUAGCAGUGAAAUGCGUAGAUAUCGUGAGGAACACCAGAGGCGAAGGCGGUUACCUGGACAGUUACUGACGCUCAGGCACGAAAGCAUGGGGAGCAAAAGGG